GACGAACGCUGGCGGCGUGCCUAAUACAUGCAAGUAGAACGCAGUUGCGAACGGGUGAGUAACGCGUAGGUAACUGCCUGGUAGCGGGGGAUAACUAUUGGAAACAAUAGCUAAUACCGCAUACUACCAGCUGGACCUGCGUUGUAUUAGCUAGUUGGUGAGGUAACGGCCAACCAAGGCAACGAUACAUAGCCGAACUGCGAGGGUGAACGGCCAAACUGGGACUGAGACAACGCCCCGACUCCUACGGGAGGCAGCAGUAGGGAAUUUUCGGCAAUGGGGGGAACCCUGACCGAGCAACGCCGCGUGAGUGAAGAAGGUUUUCGGAUCGUAAAGCUCUGUUGUUAAUGAAGCGUUACUUAACCAGAAAGGGACGGCUAACUACGUGCCAGCAGCCGCGGUAAUUC
rnacentral:rRNA from 1 species